ensembl:ncRNA lncRNA:CR44855 long non-coding RNA:CR44855
AUUCAUCGUCGUCUCCCAUUGAGCAUCAGCAGCAUCGCAUCGCAUCGAGAAAUUUGUGGCCCGAACAAAUUUCCCAAAGUCUGUGUUGAAAAAUUAAUGUGCACAACUGUCAGUGCAGUGACAGAGAUGCGAUGUGAAUGGGGUUCAUAUUCGGAUGCGGAUCGGAUCGGAACUGAACUGAACUGAACUGAACUGAGCGGGGCGUGAGGGUUACUGUUGUGAAAGCUCUUGAUAAAUGAUUUUGAAAUGUGACAAAAUGCUUACGAGCGGGAUUACCGGGGACGAGACGACGACGGCCCAAGGAUUGUUUGCUCCGGGUUCGGAAAAAGAGUUAUUUGCCAGCUGAGGGACCAGCAAAGUUUGUUUUGUGCCAGCGGAAUCAGAUGGGAUUAUAGAGAUUUGCUCAAAUGAAGUUGUAACAGAAGUGAAUGCUCAGAUGAGUGAAGGGAAGGUGCGAGUCCUGAGCUAGACGAAUAUAAGCUGUACGCCCAUGAAAAUCAAAUAAAAUAGGAUUUGUUUUGUUGGCACUCGGAACAAAUCAAUAUUGAAUUUUUGCGAUUUUAGUAAAGAUUAUUUGG